GGGACGUUAGUAAAACAAUUACAUAGCCUUGUCAAGACUAAAUUACAGGUGAAAACCCAGUACGCCCCAACUCUUAC
rnacentral:tRNA from 1 species